rnacentral:rRNA from 1 species
GACGAACGCUGGCGGCGUGCUUAACACAUGCAAGUCGAACGAUGAGCGAUGGAUUCUUGCUUCUAUCAAUCUGAGUGGCGGGCGGGUGACUCACGCGUAAUCAACCUCCCCUUCAGAGGUGGACCCCAGUUGCGAACGACUACUCAUACCGCAUACUAUCUAAUCUCUGCAUCGAGGUUAGAUGCAAGGUGGCCUCUACGUGUAAGCUCUCCCUGAAGGAGGGGAUUGCGUCUGAUUAGCUCGUUGGAUGGGUAACGGCCCACCAAGGCGAUGAUCAGUAGGCGGGCUGGGAGGCUGAACGGGCAGACUGGGACUGAGACAAGGCCCAGACGCCUAAGAGAGGCAGCAGAGGGGGAACUGGCGAAAAGGACGAAAGGCGGACGGAGCAAAGCCGGGGGAGUGACGACGGCCAUCGGGUUGUAAAGGUUGGUUAAUCGGGACGAAAGGGCUUCUGGCGAAUAGAGAGAAGGAUUGACGGUACCGGAAAAGAAAGCCACGGCUAACUACGUG